AAUUUAUAAAUUUUACAAUUUAAUUCGGUCAGCAAACAAUUUUUUAAAUGAGCUGCGUAAUACGUAUCGCUAGUUAAAAAUCUAUGUCAGAGAUCAGCUAAACUAUCUGUUUAUCGUUAAAUAAAGUAAAAUUCAGACUUUAAAUAUUGAAUAGGGACAAUAUCCAUUCGUUUAUACUCGGUAUUUAUGUAGUCAUUAAUCUUGAAAUAUAAAUUGAAUUCCCUAAAAACUCAAAAUAUGCCUGCAUUAAUUUCCUAAAAAUCAAAAUUUGUAUACAUGUAUUAUACAUAGAUGCACUAAAAAAUUAUUCUGACUUCUCACCCUCCUCCUCCCCCCAUCAAAAUAUCAAUUAAUUCCAAUAAUAUUCUACAAGAUUCUAAAAAAAAAUAUUGCGCGUAAAUUAAAAACAAUGAAAUCGGUAACGUCUCGGUAAGCCGUUAAAAAAGGUUAUUUGCCGUUUUUCCUAUAUUUUGUUUCCGGUUAUUCCCAAUUAUUUUGAAAACCCCUUAAAAACUCAAAAAAUGAUUUCUCAAAUACACCAAC